rnacentral:rRNA from 1 species
GAUGAACGCUGGCGGCGUGCCUAAUACAUGCAAGUCGAGCGAACGGACGAGAAGCUUGCUUUUCUGAUGUUAGCGGCGGACGGGUGAGUAACACGUGGAUAACCUACCUAUAAGACUGGGAUAACUUCGGGAAACCGGAGCUAAUACCGGAUAAUAUUUUGAACCGCAUGGUUCAAAAGUGAAAGACGGUCUUGCUGUCACUUAUAGAUGGAUCCGCGCUGCAUUAGCUAGUUGGUAAGGUAACGGCUUACCAAGGCAACGAUGCAUAGCCGACCUGAGAGGGGGAUCGGCCACACUGGAACUGAGACACGGUCCAGACUCCUACGGGAGGCAGAAGUAGGGAAUCUUCCGCAAUGGGCGAAAGCCUGACGGAGCAACGCCGCGUGAGUGAUGAAGGUCUUCGGAUCGUAAAACCCUGUUAUUAGGGAAGAACAUAUGUGUAAGUAACUGUGCACAUCUUGACGGUACCUAAGCAGAAAGCCACGGCUAACUACGU